AUACGUAGGGGGCGAGCGUUGUCCGGAAUGAUUGGGCGUAAAGGGCGCGUAGGCGGCGCGGUAAGUCUGGAGUGAAAGUCCUGCUCUCAAGGUGGGAAUUGCUUUGGAUACUGCCGCGCUUGAGUGCAGGAGAGGUUAUCGGAAUUCCCGGUGUAGCGGUGAAAUGCGUAGAGAUCGGGAGGAACACCAGUGGCGAAGGCGGGUAACUGGACUGCAACUGACGCUGAGGCGCGAAAGUGUGGGGAGCAAACAGGAUUAGAUACCCUGGUAGUCCACACUGUAAACGAUGAAUGCUAGGUGUAAGAGGUAUCGACCCCUUUGGUGCCGGAGUCAACACAAUAAGCAUUCCGCCUGGGGGUACGGCCGCAAGGUUGAAACUCAAAUGAAUUGACGGGG
rnacentral:rRNA from 1 species